CUACGGGUGGCAGCAGUGAGGAAUUUUGCGCAAUGGGGGAAACCCUGACGCAGCAACGCCGCGUGAGUGAUGAAGGCUUUCGAGUCGUAAAGCUCUGUCAAGUGGGAAGAACCUGAAAGGCGCUAAUAUCGCCUUUCACUGACGGUACCACUGAAGGAAGCACCGGCUAACUCCGUGCCAGCAGCCGCGGUAAUACGGGGGGUGCAGAGCGUUAUUCGGAAUCAUUGGGCGUAAAGGGCGCGUAGGCGGCUUCUUAAGUCAGAUGUGAAAGCCCGGGGCUUAACCCUGGAAGUGCAUUUGAAACUAGGGAGCUUGAGUAUGGGAGAGGGAAGUGGAAUUCCUGGUGUAGAGGUGAAAUUCGUAGAUAUCAGGAGGAACACCGGUGGCGAAGGCGACUUCCUGGACCAAUACUGACGCUGAGGCGCGAAGGCGUGGGGGGCAAACAGGAUUAGAUACCCGGGUAGUC
rnacentral:rRNA from 1 species